GUGGUUUUUCUGUUGUUUGUUUUAGAUGAAGCAUAGUGUUUGUUUUUAUCACUUUAAUAUCUGACAUGUUAUUUAACUGAAAAUGUUAUAUUAAUUAGAUUUUUCAACAAAAGAGCUGGAGUUGGGGCUUGCUUCUUCUGCUCCACUCAUUAAUCUGGUUUUAUAGUAUUUCUAGGAAUAGUCCCUUGUUC